CAUUCAAAUGUCUCCCAAUUAUUUAUUUUUCCAGGACCUCAUCCAGAAUUAUCUGCUGGAUUUCGAAGCUGAGUCUCUCCAGGUUGGAUCUGUCCUGUCUUCGAUUAGCUUGAGAGUGCUAUCCUAGACCUUUAUGGAUAAUACAGCACACAUCCAGAGUCCAUCUUGUGUUUCCUGGCGUACAGACCUGGGGCAUGUAUAUUAUGACAAAAGCUGCUGGGGCUUCUCAGUGGCUCUCAUCGGGAGGCACAGGCUUCUAUUUGCUCCACGACAGAUGAACUGCAUCCUGGGUAGUCAGUGUGCUCUGAGUCUUCCAAAGUCCCUUUCAGAAAAUACCACCUGUCCCUCGUAAACCAGUAUUUUCCAGAAGAUACGUGGCUAACAUCUUGAUUAGCAUCCAAUACCCUCCCAGGCUUACUAUCCACCCAUGACUCCGGCUUGAAGCCACCAACACUCUGUCAGGUGGAGGCUCCAUGGGCAGUCAUCCCCACCCACGGUUCAGAAGCAGGUCUCCUCAGCAAAGGACACUGCAUUAAAAACAGCAACAACAACAACACUGCUCUGAUGAACUAAAAGCCCGGUUUCUAUGUGGAAUAAACGGGAAGCACACGAAUCCAGCACAUCAAAUAGCAUAGGCAGAUUCUUCUACGUCACUCUUGUGCCUGCUUGUAGUUUCUUUACAGCUGGGGUUCUCUGAGCCCCCACUCCCAGCAACCACCACCAGCCUGUGUGGCUGCCCAGAGAAGGAGAAGCUGUUGUAGUAGAUGGUCAGACUGUACACAUGUUAAGGUCCCGGGGAAAAGUGGAUUUUUUUUUCUAAUGAAUUGGGCAUUGGUUCUUUGAAAGAGAACCAUGUGGAAGAUAUGAUAUAAACGGUUAAGAACUAUCAUAUAAGUAUAUACGUAAAUUAGUGGAAACUUUAUAUUAUUGGCUUCUGAAGCUAUGGAAAACAUUAGCGAGGAAAUGUAACAGCCAACCAGAUGUCCAAUUGUUAACGAAUUCCGCUAUUAGAACACUACUCUGGGGGAACUAUUCUCCACCGGCUUCUUUUCAUCUCUGUCACGACUGAAAAACACGUUAAAACAGUAACCAAAACUGUCCCCCUCCCCCCCGCCUCCCCAGCCUACUGACACUGUGCUUUCUCUAUCGCGGGGCAUAGAUUUUAAAGACAGUGGCAAAAUGUCUCCGAGUCUUAAAGUAUGAGGAAAGAUCCAUUUUCUAAGAAAACUAAUGCCACGUGUUGGCCUCCAGAGGAGAGGAAAGAAGUCACUUGUACCCCCACCACAGACUGGUCCUUAGAGCAGCAAAGUGUGCAUCGCUAACGACCCCAGCCCUGACUUAAUAAACGUGAAACUCUCCUAAAUUCAAGGUGGUUUAAACAUUCAAGUCCUGCUUUAAAACUGGGGUUCUGAGAGCCAUGAUCCUAAAUAUUCAGGUCUGGGGAAAGGGGUCUCAUGACCAAUCAGACCUGGAGUGAGUACCAGAGAACCCCCUUCACAUCUUCCAGCAAAUGGAAAUACUGUUCCAGAGAGGUACCUACACUUUGAUGUUUUUAAGACUCUCCCAAUUGUUCCCAUUUCAAAGGCCUGAAGGUCUUUUUUUAUCUCUUGCCCCAAACUAGUCGAAGCCUGAAUUUGAGGCCCAGCAGAGGUCGCUGACACCCAGAAAGAGUGAGCGUGGCCAGGGGAACCCAGGAGCUUUGACAUCAUACUAAGCUCCUCCUUGCACGCACACAUAUCACACACACACACACACACACACACACACACACACACACACACAACGCUAUACCCCUCCUCACUCUCUCCCCCAUCCCAUCCGCCCCGUACCGCCCCCUCCCUCGACAAGUGACUGUCCCAGGCAUAGCCACCUAGUCUAGCCAGAAGCGCAGCGCCCACUGCCCAAGGGAACCCACGCGUAACAGGAGUGACCACCGUGACUGCAGUGGGACCGAUAGUCCCAGCACCCGGGAUCUCCAGCAACCCACCCCCGCCCCGCUCGGCCGCGGCAACCAGGGCCGCCACCCCCUCCAAACCCGAGGACCCCCUCCACCUCUAUGAGAGAAGGCGACGCAGGGCAAAGAAGCAGGACGCCUGGCAGUCGGACUCCCCCGCAAGUGCGCGGCACCCGUUUCGCGUCCGCGCCGCGAUCACCCGGGAAGC
ensembl:lncRNA